rnacentral:rRNA from 1 species
GGUUAAGCGACUAAGCGUACACGGUGGAUGCCCUGGCAGUCAGAGGCGAUGAAGGACGUGCUAAUCUGCGAUAAGCGUCGGUGAGGUGAUAUGAACCGUUAUAACCGGCGAUUUCCGAAUGGGGAAACCCAGUGUGUUUCGACACACUAUCAUUAACUGAAUCCAUAGGUUAAUGAGGCGAACCGGGGGAACUGAAACAUCUAAGUACCCCGAGGAAAAGAAAUCAACCGAGAUUCCCCCAGUAGCGGCGAGCGAACGGGGAGGAGCCCAGAGCCUGAAUCAGUGUGUGUGUUAGUGGAAGCGUCUGGAAAGGCGCGCGAUACAGGGUGACAGCCCCGUACACAAAAAUGCACACAUUGUGAGCUCGAUGAGUAGGGCGGGACACGUGGUAUCCUGUCUGAAUAUGGGGGGACCAUCCUCCAAGGCUAAAUACUCCUGACUGACCGAUAGUGAACCAGUACCGUGAGGGAAAGGCGAAAAGAACCCCGGCGAGGGGAGUGAAAAAGAACCUGAAACCGUGUACGUACAAGCAGUGGGAGCCUCUUAAUGGGGUGACUGCGUACCUUUUGUAUAAUGGGUCAGCGACUUAUAUUCUGUAGCAAGGUUAACCGAAUAGGGGAGCCGAAGGG